AGAAACAGGAAGUGCCCCUCUUUUCCCCUCCGCUCUUGCUCCAGCGGCGGGAUGUGAUCCACUGGCAAGGAGGGACGCCAAUAAGGUGUCCGAUAAAAUAAGUCUUAUAAAAUAUAUAGGUUUAUGAUAGUUAACACUGAGCUAGCAGAUGAGAAUCCUAGUCAUUGGCCAAGCAGCUUUGAACCUAAUCCAAGUUUCUGUGUAUUCAUUUGGGCCCUAACUCAGGCAGGCGGCUGGCAUAAAGCUCACACGUGGCGUUGGGGCUCGGCGGCUUUUGGCAGAAAGAUUUAUCGUAACAACCCUUUCUUUUGCAAAACAUGCAUUAUGAGCACUUUCUAGGAAAGAGAGAGUGAGGAAAAUGAGGACAAGGAGCCAUGAGGGAAAGCUAUAUUCACCAGCUUCCCCCUGUCCUGUCCCCCAAUGGGAACCAUUUUUUAACUCUUUGUACAGUUUCUGGCCACAUUUAAUGGUCUCUAGAUCCCUAAACAACAACAACAACAACAAAAACCACAUCAUUUUGAAAAUGAAAGCUGUCAACUUGCAAGGAAGUGUGCCUCACCCAAAGGCGAGUCCAGCACCCUGUGGCGAGGAGAAAAGAACCCAGGAAUCCUUACAAAUCUGGAAGAGAAAGCUGUCAAAACAAGUGAGGACCAGUUGCAUGGGGUCUUCGGAGAGAAAUCUAUCUACACAGUUGCUCAAAGAUGAUGUCACCAUUUGUGUUCCUCAUCUGAGGCCUGAGGAAGCCGAGGCCCAGAUUCUGAGACUGGGACUUUGGCAGGGAGCCUCUUCGGUGUGUCAGGCGGACCUUCAUGAGAAGCCGAUUCUAAACCACAGCACUGUGGUGUUUGGGACUUGAAGCUCCAGGAGUGAGGAAACAGCAGAAACAGGACGCUCCCUUCUGCCUUUGACCAUAUCGUCCUUCCUGAGAUCACAGCGUAAAACCCUGGAAGGAUUUCCUGACCACCCCGCAAACAGGAAUAAUUUGAAAUUAGAGAGAAGAGUUAGGAUUUGGGAAUCAGUGGCAUCUUGUCCUGCAACGUCCAUAGGCUACAUGAAAGCAUAAUCUGUCCAGCUGCUAUUUCCUGUUGCGUCUCUCCG
rnacentral:lncRNA from 1 species